rnacentral:lncRNA from 1 species
GUCGGCACAAGUGUCCAGUUUCAGGGUCAAGUCCUUCAAUUCAACGACACGGAUGUAAUCGAAGCGCAUUUCGGUCCUCCAGACUUGAAGAUAUCUUUCAAAUCGAGCUCCUCGUAUCAGGACAAACUUAUCAGCUUCAUCCUCAAAAGAACGGUUGAAUCUUUUCUUUUGGUGAUGGACUUUACCACCGAAGGCGCCGUAAGAUCCACGCCGACGGAGGAGCCUUACAAAAGCGGCGAGAUUGAUCCCGUGUUCAGCGACAAUUUUUGUCUGUUAAAUGCUUACGUUGGAUGGGGCUCAUUUACAUCGUAGCGUCCGACGCAAGCGCAGUAAGUACGAUACGAUUAAACGAAUUCGCGUCGCUGUACUUCACUACGCCUAUAAGCACACUGGCGGUCGCUUAUGACGCUUUCAAAGCUCACCAGCCACAUAAAAUAGGAUAUAAAAUGUCCACUGUUUCAUA